GAUCAUGGCUCAGGAUGAACGCUAGCGACAGGCUUUAACACAUGCAAGUCGAGGGGGCAGCGAGGGCGUAGCAAUACGCCUGUCGGCGACCGGCGCACUGGUGAGUAACACGUAUGCGACCUGCCCCCUACAGGGGUAUAACCCGUAGAAAUGCGGACUAAUCCCCCAUAGUCCUGGGUGCUGCAUGGCAUUCAGGGGAAAGGCCAGCCGGUAGGGGAUGGGCAUGCGGCGCAUUAGCUAGUUGGCGGGGCAACGGCCCACCAAGGCGACGAUGCGUAGGGGUUCUGAGAGGAAGGUCCCCCACACUGGUACUGAGACACGGACCAGACUCCUACGGGAGGCAGCAGUGAGGAAUAUUGGUCAAUGGGCGCAGGCCUGAACCAGCCAAGUCGCGUGAGGGAGGACGGUCCUACGGAUUGUAAACCUCUUUGUCGGGGAGUAACGUGCGGGACGCGUCCCGUAUUGAGAGUACCCGAAGAAAAAGCAUCGGCUAACUCCGUG
rnacentral:rRNA from 1 species